rnacentral:rRNA from 1 species
AACGUAGGUGGCGAGCGUUAUCCGGAUUUACUGGGCGUAAAGCGUGUGCAGGCGGCUUAUCAAGUGGUGUAUGAAAUAUCCAGGCUCAACCUGGAGGGGUUAUGCCAGACUGGUAGGCUAGAGUGCGAGAGAGGGGCGUGGAAUUCCGGGUGUAGUGGUGAAAUGCGUAGAGAUCCGGAGGAACCCCAGAGGCGAAGGCGGCGUUCUGGACUGCAACUGACACUGAUGAACGAAAGCCAGGGGAGCAAACGGG